rnacentral:rRNA from 1 species
AGUGAACGCUGGCGGCGUGCCUAAUACAUGCAAGUCGAACGAAGUGGCGCACGGGUGAGUAAUAUAUAGUUAAACUGACCUACACAGAGGAACAACAGUUGGAAACGGCUGCUAAUACCUCAUAGUGUAGGAUGAGACUAUAUCGUAUCAGCUAGUUGGUAAGGUAAUGGUUAACCAAGGCGAUGACGCGUAACUGGUCUGAGAGGAUGAUCAGUCACAUUGGAGCUGAGACACGGUCCAAACUCCGACUGGAGGCAGCAGUAAGGAAGAUUGCGCAAGGGGGGAAGCCCUGAGGCAGCAACGCCGCGUGGACGAUGACACUUUUCGGAGCGUAAACUCCUUUUAUCAGGAAAGCGGGACCUGAUGAAUAAGCACCGGCUAACUCCGUGCCAGCAGCCGCGGUAAUAC